AAGCUUGGGGGUUUGGAAAAUUAUCUUAAUCCCAGCAAAAAUGUAUUUUAGUAUUAAGUCAGUGAUUUUGUAAAAUAAUGUAAAAUUAUGAAAUAAAAAAUUGCAUAAAGGUAAAAUGUUCUCUAUCGGCCCUCAGGCAAACUAAUAACAAACUUUAAAUAAUUAUGAUGGCUAGAUAAACUAUUAAUCCAAUAUAAGUUAUCAAAAUGUUAAGUGAAAUAUGUUGAGAUUGUAGGUCAUCGGGUCACUUGAAAACAAAAAGUUUAUUUUGUAGUUUUCAAAUAUACCUGCAGACAUAUUUUAUAUAGGGGAUCAGAAGGGAUGAUUAUACUAUAAACAAUAAUAUUUUAACUACUUUAAAUAGACAUUUGAACGCCAGAAAAAAAGAAUAUAAAUUAUAUGAAAUCUAU